rnacentral:rRNA from 1 species
GACGAACGCUGGCGGCGUGCCUAAUACAUGCAAGUCGAACGCAGUGGGGACGGGUGAGUAAAACGUGGGUAACCUCCCAACAGAGGGGAUAACACUUGGAAACAGGUGCUAAACCGAUACUGAUGGAUGGACCCGCGGGGCAUUAGCUAGUUGGUGAGGUAACGGCUCACGAAGGCCACGAUGCAUAGCCACCAUGUGAUGGUGUUCGGCCACUCGAGAACUGAGACACGGCCCAAACUCCUACGUGAGGCAGCAGGAGAGAAUAUUCGGAAAUGGACUACAGUCUGACCGAGCAAAGGCGCGUGCGUGAAGGAGGUUGUCGGAGCGUAAAACUCUGUUGUUAGAGAAGCGGUAUCUAACCAGAAAGCCACGGCUGACUACAUGCCAGCCGCCGCGGUGAUUC